CUCGUGUUUUCUUCUCUCUCCGAUUUUACAAACUCCAUCUUCACAGCAGCAGAUCUCAGUUCAGAUGAUAAACUCCUCCAGAUAUUCCUGCUCGCUUCAAAACUCAGUCACGACUGUGAGGACGAGAAUAUUACAGGCAAAUUGCAUUAGUGUGCGUAAAGGGACGGAGCUACCACCAAUACAGAAAUACACAGAGUGCUGCAGCCGGUAUCACUGCCCGCUGUGCAAUUCAAACACAGUGGGGUACUGUGGAAACAGAAGACGUGGAGACCUGCGAGGGUUUUAUAGAGACCCUGAAUUUCCUGAGCAUUGCCCAGACUGCCAGUUUUAGGGGGCAGGAAUGAGGUGUGGUGUGCACAGUGUGCAAUAGUUUAUUUGGAACUGUUCAUGUUUUAUUUCCUCUUGAAAUAGGGACUUCCCCCACAACCUUAAGGAGCCUGACUGUGGCAUCUUCAUUCUGAUGGUCAGAUUUGACAAAUUGUACUAAUUAGAUUGUGUAAUUUCCAAUAAAUAUUGCAAAACCAUGAAGUGUUUA